UGUUGGGAAAUGUAGAGUCGGAAACAUGGGAGCGACCUUAUUGAAGCGGGCCAUUUGGUUUCAGUCUAAACACCAGAGUGGGGAGAAAAUGGCAAGCAGAAAUACCAAAUCAUACGGCAGAAGACACUGCGUGAAUCAAGAGGGAGAAGCGGUCCUGGUUGGCGAGGCUCAGCACCCCGCGGCAGAGGGAGCACUCGACAGAUUGAGAGGUUCAGUAAGGCAUAACCCCUGAGCUCCACGUGCUUUGGGGUGGGAGACAUCCUCCCAGGAUGACACAUGGCUUUUGCCAGGCAGCUGAUCCUCCUUCUGCCUGUAUGAAAGCAAGUCAAAGAUGGUCCUUAACGUUGAAGCUCC